GUGGAUUAGAUACCCCGGUAGUCCACGCCGUAAACGAUGAAUGCUAGGUGUUGGGGGUUUCGAUACCCUCGGUGCCGAAGUUAACACAUUAAGCAUUCCGCCUGGGGAGUACGGUCGCAAGACUGAAACUCAAAGGAAUUGACGGGGACCCGCACAAGCAGUGGAGUAUGUGGUUUAAUUCGAAGCAACGCGAAGAACCUUACCAGGUCUUGACAUCUGAAUGACCGUCCUAGAGAUAGGGCUUUCCUUCGGGACAUUCAAGACAGGUGGUGCACGGUUGUCGUCAACU
rnacentral:rRNA from 1 species